rnacentral:misc_RNA from 1 species
GAUGAAGAACGCAGUGAAAUGCGAUACGUAAUGUGAAUUGCAGAAUUCAGUGAAUCAUCGAGUCUUUGAACGCACAUUGCGCCCCCUGGUAUUCCGGGGGGCAUGCCUGUCCGAGCGUCAUUGCUGCCCUCAAGCACGGCUUGUGUGUUGGGCCUCCGUCCUCCUCCCGGGGGACGGGCCCGAAAGGCAGCGGCGGCACCGCGUCCGGUCCUCGAGCGUAUGGGGCUUCGUCACCCGCUCUUGUAGGCCCGGCCGGCGCUUGCCGACACAUCAAUCUUUUUUCCAGGUUGACCUCGGAUCAGGUAGGGAUACCCGCUGAACUUAAGCAUAUCAAUAAGGGAGGA